rnacentral:lncRNA from 1 species
AUUCUAUGGGGUGAUUCUAUGGGGAGACCCCAUGGGGCGAUGCUAUGGGGCGAUGCUGUGGGGUGACCCUAUGGGGUGCCGCUAUGGGGUGCCGCUAUGGGUCUGGCCCCAUGGGGUGGUGCUAUGGGGGCGAUGCUAUGGGGCUGGCCCCAUGGUGCUGACUCUAUGGGGUGAUGCUAUGGGGUGGCCCCAUGGGGUGCCGCUGUGGGUCUGGCCCCACGGCGUGCCCCCCCCCCCCCCCCCAGUCGGUUUUCCGCAAUUUCGACGUGGACGGGGACGGGCGAAUCUCCCGCGAGGAGUUCGGGAUCCUGCGGGAAAACUUCCCCCACCUGCAGCUGCACCACUUCGGGGAGCUCGACACCGAC